rnacentral:lncRNA from 1 species
GUUCUAACUCUGUUUCAUACUGUAAAUGGAAUGUUCAAAUAAAGCAUUUGAAAAAAAAUUAAUAUAUUGACGCAUCAAAUCUCUCUAGCGACUCUGCCCUUGUCUGCCGCGAGGUGUCACUGUGCGCGUUCGCUGAGGACGUUUCCAUGGAGAAAACACUAGUGUGCGCGGAAUGACGUAAUGUGAUGGAUGGAAGCCGCUGUAGCGCCGGUCCCGCGUGCACUGCCUGCCGCCGCUGCUCCGCUCCGCAUCCCUCAGCGAACACUCUGCGCUCUUGUUUGAGAAUACCAUCUUUGGAUUUGUACAAGACCCGAUUGUGAUCAUGUAAAGCUGCAAGAACAUGCCGCUGUGACAUUUGGAAGUUUUCAGAUCAUCAGGAAAAUGAAUACAGAAAUGUGUAAUUAUGAAGUUGGGGUAACCUUCCCCCGUUCUCGAUGCCUGUCACAGAGCAGCCGUGCUGGGGUUCAUCUGAAGGGAUGCACCAUGGUGUGAUCACACGUCUGUCCUACCCCAGACUCAAUGAAUCGCACGAAUGAAUGGACAUUACUGUGGCAAAGGGAAUUAGCUUGCUUGCAUAGGGACUUUGGAUUUGGGAAUACUGGAGCCGGUAGAGGAGCGUUGGAUUUUUUUUGAAGAAGUGCAGCGGAUACUUCAAGGAGUGUUUUUGGAAGAUGUCUGAGAAGGGAGCUGAGGCGUCUACAUCUCAGCCCCCAAAGCGGAAGCAGGUGAUCCAUGCUCUGGAAGAUCAGAAACAGGUUGGUGCUUUGAUUUGAGGUGACAGAUAGCAUCAUAUCGUAUGUAUAACUUCAGUGUUUCCUAAAUUUAAAGGUACUUGAUCUUGAAACGCCCCUAAUUUGCUCUCAAAUAUUUCAGUUUCCAAACAGGAUUGUGUCUGUAUUUGAAUCUUCAAUCGCUGUUUGCAGCUCUUUAAUCUUUUUAGAGUUUUAUUUUCAUGCUAAAGGAGAAACUUGGACCACUUUCACCUUGGCCAUGCUGCACAUUAUCCAGUGAUUUAUGGUCAGCUGAGGCCAUGCACGUCCCUUGGCAUAUGGCCCAAUAGCAUAGCACCAGGUGCAAUGGCUGCUUAAUUGACUUGUGCUGAGAUUUGUGAGUAUACUUUAUGACUGCUUGCAAAUGCAUGUGCUGACCACAAAGCUUGAGGAUAAUUUUAGACUUUAUAGCAAUGAAGAAUGAGAAAAAUGCCAGAGUUUUGUACUGUAAGAAUGUGAUUUGCUUUAUUUAGUUUUGCUUGAAAGAAAAUCCUUGGUUUACUAAGCCUCUCAGUGCAGAUUACCACUCAUGCAAGUUUUAUGCUAGAAUAAACAGCACAAUAAAUAACAAUAAGGCAUCACAAACCUUGCAUCCGAUCCAGUUUCAGGCACAUUCUGCUCUCGAGAGCUGAACUAAUGGGCUUAGAGAUUCCUUAAGGCCCAUGUUUCACUUCCGUCUUUGGGAAUCUGAUUUUACAUGUAAACGGAUACCCGUUUGCUUGCCUGUCCGAGUAUGACAUGUUUUGCUUGGUGUAAAUCCUAGCGUGACGCGAGUAAAUGAGGCUUGGGCUUCCUGGUUGCCCAGCUGGAUCCUUCAGGGGCAUUUUGGUUUCUCGCCCAGACUUAAAGGAGAGUCUUGGAGGACUAUUAAAAUAUACAGAAUUAUUUUGCUGAAAUUCAUGGUGGAUGGGCUUCUUUUCCAUCGUCCUCUUUGGUUUGACUCGAUUAGAUAUGCAAAACUGAUCACCUGGGAUUCUAGUAGAACAUGAAUUAAUUAAAGUAGUAAAAAGCACAGCUGCUGUUUUCCAAUUUUCCAGCAUGGUGAACUCUUGUUAGGACACUAUGCCUUCACCGAGACGAACACACCGUGACAUAAAGAAAAUUGUUGGCAUUAAAAAACAAAAUUCAAGUAACUAAUUGCAUAUUCAAGGUAUCAAAAGGGUGAUAUGAAUCAGUAAUUUGUUCAACAUUACCAUGUCACUGUAUUUUGUAUUGCACAAUAGUCUCUGUUAACCGAAACCAGUGGUUUUGAAUAGGUCUCUCCGUCUGCUGCGGUCCAUUGUUUGUGGAAUAACAGGGGUCUCCUUGGAUCUGACGCUAGGUGUUUCCCAAUUACCUCAUGCUAUAUAGUUUUUCCAGAGAGACCUGCUCCUGCUUUGGGUAAUUGGAUUUUCUUCCACUAUUUGGCCUGAUUUUUUGAUUACGUGUGUUCAUCAAAUGACAUUUCCUGGGAGAGGCGCAGGUAAUGCACUUCACUGUGGAAUUAUUCAUUGAUGUACAUCAUUUUUUUCAGUCUGAUGCUAUGAAUUUUAGAUUAAGGCCUAUAGUAGUGACAAAGAGCCAGUGAACUCCAGUAGUCCCUUCAUUGAUAGCUGGAAGGGUGAGUCAAUGAAUUGGCUAAAUAAUACAUUAAUGAAACAAGUAUAAUUUAAAAAAGCAUAGUGGCUUAUAUUGAGUAGCGGAGUGGAGGUUGCCUUAUAUGUUAUUGGUGUCUAAAUUUGGUCUAUGUCAUUUUUUUCUGUAAUUUUAGAGUGCAAUCAUGUUUUUGUGAUAUAUGUGUGAUGUGUAAAUCUAUGAUGAUGAUGAUGAUAAGUAAUGACAUUUUUAUUCUGUUGAGUGUUGAUGUACCAUACAGUUCCUAAGGGUGAAAGCGGUGUUAUUGCUGUAGCAGCAUUAAGUGAACACAGCAUCUAUUCAGCGUUCUUAUAAUCUUACUUUAGUGGUUACUGAAAUGUCAUUUGAAAACUUUGAGGAAAGAAUAUGUAUUUUUAAGACCCCCAAGCCUUUUUGCAUAAACCUAGUUAAAUAACAGAUCAUGCCUUGAUGUAUUCAUGCUUACCUACUUUUUAUUUUUCUUCUUACUUUAAUUUCUUAAUUUAGAAAGCAAAGAAAACAAUCUCAGUGAAAUUAUAGGUUUUUAAAAUCUCAUAUUCGUCUUUUGCUUGUUUUAUCAACUGCUGAAACUUACCAACUCUCUGAUCACUGAAGAACCUGAGCUCUUUUCUUAAGCGAUGGUUAGUUACUAACACAAACAGCCAGUUCUCAGAAGAAUGUUUUUAUUCUUUUCACCAUUUCUGCCCUGUUGAUUCAUAACCUAACCGUUUUAAAAGCCAACAUGAAAAACUGUGGUCUUUUGUUAAUGUUUGCAUAAUAUUUUUUAUUUUUUUAUUUUUUAAAUAUGUUGAAUAUGUCUGCUUUUGAAAUUUGUUUGACAUGGCUACUGUGUCAGUAGUGUACACUAGACCUUUUUUUGAAGCCACACACACUGGAAACAGACAGAACCUACAAGCCCUAUUACUGUAUAUAUCCUUCAGUAUUUUGCCUGAAGACACAGUUUAAUAUCUCACAACUUAUUAAAAGGAACAAAAUGCAGCUUAUACAUGAUGUGAGAUGUUAACAGGUGAAAAAAAUUAUGAAUAAAUGUGUUUUAAUUGUAUUUCAGUUGUGUUUCUUUGCUAUGGGAGGUUCUACUGUACAGAUCAGGGCAAAAGCUUUGACACAGAUCAGCAGUUGCAUGUGAUUCCCUGUUUCUUCUGAAAAAUGUCUGGAGA